GGAGCUGGUAUCAGGCACAACUUUUCCGCCCCAUAACACCUAGCCUCGCCACACCCACAAGGGAAUUCAGCAGUGAUAAACAUUGAGCAUAAGCGAUAGCUUGACUCAGUUAAAUUAAACAGAGCCGGCCAAUCUGGUGCCAGCCGCCGCGGUUACACCACUGUGGCUCAAAUUGACUUCUUUCGGCGUAAAGCGUGCUUAAAGCCUAAAAUUUCUUGGAAUUAAACUGAAACUAAGCUGUGACACGCUUGUUACUCAAGAAAACCAAAAACGAAAGUUAUUCCAAUUUUUUCAACUUGAAUUCACGACAACUAGGAAACAAACUGGGAUUAGAUACCCCACUAUGCCUAGUCGUAAACUUUAAUCUACUCCCACAUCGCCCGGGAACUACGAGCUAAGCUUAAAACCCAAAGGACUUGACGGUACCCCAUAUCCCCCUAGAGGAGCCUGUCCUAUAAUCGAUAACCCCCGUUUAACCUCACCAUUUUUUGCCAGUCAGCCUGUAUACCUCCGUCGUCAGCUUACCACGUGAGCGUCAGUGAGCCUAAUGUUUCUCCAACUACACGUCAGGUCAAGGUGCAACAUAUAAAAUGGGAAGAGAUGGGCUACACUUUCUACCAUAGAAUAAACGAAAGACUAAAUGAAACCUAGUCAGAAGGCGGAUUUAGCAGUAAAAUGAAACUAGAGCGUUCACUUAAAUGCGGCACUGGGGUGUGUACACACCGCCC
rnacentral:rRNA from 1 species